UUUCUGAGAUUCUCAUUGCACAGAAUGAACGGUAUUAACUCCAUUCAGCCAUGCUACCCUGCAAAGAAGACGCCAUGACUAUUGUCAAUAGCUUGAAUAUGAAGAAACAUAAAAAAGGAACCUCUAAAGGUGUGAUGAAAAAAUGGGGGAAAUGGGGGGACCAAAUUGAUAAAGUUCAGUAUAAACCCAGUUGAAGUCUUGAGAAGUUCUUUAGCUGGUUUAAACAUGGAUCUACCCCAUGUAUGAAUGAGAAAAAAAAUAUUGAUUCUGAGCUCCAAAGAAAAACAAUGUUACCUUAUUGUGACAGGCAAUUAUAAAAUGAGCUUCAGAAAGGAUUCAUGUGAAAGGGGGGAAAUUAGAUUUUUUUCAAGAACCUUUUCCAACUAGAUUGAUUCAAUGAGAUUGGUUAAAAUGAGAUUUCUGUUGAGGUUUUUUUGUAUGUUUGUUUGUUUGUUUUUUUCCAAAAUCUGCAUUAGCAUGAUUUUGUGGAAAAAGGAGUCCCAAAUGACUGCAGAAGGGAAAGACUUAGAGUGGACAUUUAUGGAUGAAGAGAUGGUCUAGUAAGAGGAUAGCAAAAAUACAGGAUGCACUGUCAUAAAAAGGACACAAGACACUUCAAGCAUGUUCCUGACCUGCUCAGCAAGGAUAUUGCACAGCAAGAGGUUAUUCAAACUCAGCCAAGGACCAGAAUUGUUCCACUGAAGGCUCAGAGGAGACAUUGUGAUAUAUACUGUGGUUGCACUGGAUUAUUUCCCUUGAACAGCAAAAAUGCACAUAACAUAAGAACAUAUAUUGUAGUGGUAUGUACUUGUUAA
rnacentral:lncRNA from 1 species